rnacentral:lncRNA from 1 species
AAUAAUGAAUUACCACCGUAAAAUUCAUUAGGGGAGGAGUAACAAGUUCUUGGAGGGUGGUUGGUGAUGGGCAUUAAAGUGGUAAAGUCUCUUGUUCUCUUAUUAAGUGCAACUACUGUGAAUAUAUCUUAGCAAAUAAUUAUAUCAAUGUUCUUUACGUGCACAUCUGAAUGCUAUCUACCGUUAGAUUUCAACUUUACAAUUUGGUCUAUCUCAUACAUUAAUAAUGAAACCACCACGUUUGUCGUCAUUGGCAUAUAACGUGACAGAACCCCGACGACCACCAUAUCAAUGUACUCAAUGACAUAGAUCAAUAUGGGUGAGUGACAUGGAAAUUUCAUGCAAUGUGAUCUCUAAAUCAUGUCUAUUUCCAACUGGUCCAACAUAAGUCUUUAUGGGCUAUGCUCAACGCGCAUGAGUGUGCAUAAAUUUCAUGCUCAGGGCGCCUGAGUGUGUUUUCACGUGCCUAAAUGUGUGUUUCUUCGUCUUCUUGGGUAUUUACUUCCAUAUGAGAUGUCUUGGGACUUGAGAACAAAUUUCAUCCCUAUGUAAUUUCUUCAGAGGCUUGUGGAAUCUUCAUUCAUGAUCUUUCCAAAGUCUUCACAAGUAUUCAAAUGUCUUACUUUGUCAAUUUGCAUGAUUUCUUCGUAAAUUACAUCAAAACACCUUAUAAUUUCUAUUUUGGGAAAAAUAGAAUUACAUGACUCAAAUAUAUAAAACGUUACAAAUGUCCCAAAAUCAUAAGCAAUUUUUCUAAUACUCCUCUAUUAUAGAUUAAACCUACUAAAAAUAACUGAAAAACAUGCUAAAAAUAACGUAGGAUGACAUGUCAUCAAUUAAUGUAUAAGAUAUGCUAAGACUUGCAUGUUUUUUUAAAAAAAAUAUGUCGUUCUCUCGAUCUUAGAAUCGAAGAGUAAUUCUUAGGAAAACAUUUUACCUUGCAUACAAAAAUAAAAGAACUUUACCAAACUUAAAAAGAAUAGGAGUGAAAUAAUUCAAAGAAUAAAUGAAAUAAAAAGUAAAAAAAAAAUAUUCACAAUGAAAAGAACAGUAUAAAAUAAAGAAGAGAAAAGUAUAAAGAGGUUUAAAGUACAAAGUAUAAAAGAAAAAUAUACACUAAAUCUAAUUAAUAUACAAACUUUUAUCAACAAAUUACCUUACAAUCAAUUAACACAAAUCCAUGGGAACAGCGCCAUUUGAUGAGCCCGAUUGUAGCAAUGAAGAAUCAAAGAUUUAUAAUUAUUAGUUGGUAGUGUUUAGCUGAUUAUAGGUGUUUAUUGAGAAAUUAUGAGUGAAGGAUGAAACAAACAAUAGACAAGUUAUGUUGGGAAUAGACUUCAUUAGUUAGUUCAUCUUUCCUUGAUCAACUUUAAAUUCCUUUUAUUCCAAUUAUACCUUCACCUAUCACCCUUCAUGGAUCUUGAUAUCUCGUAAAUAAUGGUAGAUCGUCUCUAGUCUCUAACCUCUGAUGUUACGAUUAGUUACUUAAAAAAGAAGCAUUAAGUUUCAACAAUGUGCGUGAUUGUAAACCUAAUCCGACAAAUACCCUUGCCUGUUUUCCUUAUAAGGGAUGUCUGAUUCUAGCAUGCCCCAAGUCAAAAGAUCAAUCAAGGGAUUUUGAUAUGUUGCAUAAGUCGACUUGAUCUACAAGCCUUUGUUACCACCUCGCUUCUGCCUUUUCACUCUCUCUUAAUCUUUCUUUCUCUAACUUGAAUAUUGAGUGAAUGAAUUGAAAGUAAGGUUGCAAGCCUAUUUUCUAAGUUGUGGUUUUCAUCCUUCGUCGGGAGAGUAGUUAUUCACUAAUUGUUUGUGAUCCAAUGGGAUAUGCUUCCACGUUAUCCAAGUGGGACUUUUUAGACCAUAUUUACUCAAUGGACAAGAUAAUAGAUUCAUUGGAUGAAGUAUCAUCUUAUUAUUCUCUAAAAAAAAAAAUAUAUCAUCUUAUCAGACCGCAUUUCUUCAUUAGGAGAGUUAGAGCUUGUUUGAAACACUUCUCAAAAACUCCUUUUUAGUUUUUAAAAACUUGAAAAUUAAAAACUUAUUUGCUAAACUAUUUAUAAAAUUACAGUUUUGGAAACUGUUUUGAAUUUUUUAGUUUUGGGAACUAAAAAAUUAAAACAUGUAAAAGGAUAACCAUUGUGAGAAGAGGACCUGUAUAUUUCAAAAAUUGAAAACAAAAACUAUUUCAAACAGGCCCUUAAUAACUUCAUUUGGAGGGUUCCUCUUUUAAGACUUUGCUUUGCUGGGAGAAUGACAAGGCUCGAUAUGAUUAAAAGAUUUUAUAUAUAAUAAACCCACUAAUGGUGUAUGAGUCAACACUAAAUCAUACUCGUAAGUUAUUGUCUCAACAUGGAUUGUCAUUCUACUCGAUAAUUAGAGAAAUUUAUUUGAAAGUAAAUAAAAGAAGAGAUUAAAAGUGGUUACAUAGUUUUAAUUCAUCUCCUGUCCAAUGCGAGAUUAGGUUUUUUGAUUCUUAAGUGUAACGGCAAUUAGGGAAUCAUCCUCUGCCCCCCUCUUCGAUCUUUGUUAGAACUAUCUUGAUUGAAUAUUAAUUUAUGACUUGUCUCCUUGGAUUUAAGAAAGUAGAACAUGACCCUGUGAUGAAUCAGUGGAAGUUUAUUUUAAUAUCGCCGCACUUCGACCAGCUAAAAUUGUGGUGUUCCCCAGCCAUAACCCUAAAUUCAUACUUAGAUUCGAUUAAAAGAAUUUAGUUUAGAAACUAAGCAGUUAACUAUUGUCAGGGUCGGACGAAAUUAGGGUUUCAAUCCUAUUAUGCUCCAUCUAAGAUGUGGUAUAGAAACAAAC